rnacentral:rRNA from 1 species
UACAUGGGGUGCAAACGUUGCUCGGAAUUAUUGGGCGUAAAGCGCACGUAGGCGGAUUCGUAAGUCAGGGUGAAAUCCCGGGGCUCAACCUCGGAACUGCCUUUGAUACUGCGGGUCUUGAGUCCGAUAGAGGUGGGUGGAAUUCCUAGUGUAGAGGUGAAAUUCGUAGAUAUUAGGAAGAACACCGGUGGCGAAGGCGGCCCACUGGAUCGGUACUGACGCUGAGGUGCGAAAGCGUGGGGAGCAAACAGG